UGGGGGAUAUUGCACAAUGGGCGAAAGCCUGAUGCAGCGACGCCGCGUGGGGGAUGAAGGCCUUCGGGUUGUAAACUUCUUUUGCUCUGAACAAGGCAUGCUAAUGGGUGUGUUGAGUGUAGGGGUUGAUUAGCGCCGGCUAACUACGUGCCAGCAGCCGCGGUAAUACGUAGGGCGCGAGCGUUGUCCGGAAUUAUUGGGCGUAAAGGGCUUGUAGGUGGCUGGUUGCGUCUGUCGUGAAAUCUCAUGGCUUAACUGUGGGUUUGCGGUGGGUACGGGCUGGCUUGAGUGCAGUAGGGGAGGCUGGAAUUCCUGGUGUAGCGGUGGAAUGCGCAGAUAUCAGGAGGAAUACCGGUGGCGAAGACGGGUCUCUGGGCUGUUACUGACACUGAGGAGCGAAAGCAUGGGGAGCGAACAGG
rnacentral:rRNA from 1 species